rnacentral:misc_RNA from 1 species
UUGAUAUUUUAUGUGGGACUCAGACAACACUAAAAAACAGCGUGUAAGGGGUCUCUGACGGGCACGCACCAGCCGGAGCCGGUGGCCAAGAUGGACGGCCCGCCAAAGCAACAAAGUAAGAUAAGCAAGGGUGGGAGAUCUACCCCGGGGGGCAAGAACUCGAUAAUGAUCCUUCCGCAGGUUCACCUACGGAAA